rnacentral:rRNA from 1 species
CAGCCGCCGCGGUAACACCGAGGGUGCGAGCGUUAAUCGGAUUUACUGGGCGUAAAGCGUGCGUAGGCGGCUUUUUAAGUCGGAUGUGAAAUCCCUGAGCUUAACUUAGGAAUUGCAUUCGAUACUGGGAAGCUAGAGUAUGGGAGAGGAUGGUAGAAUUCCAGGUGUAGCGGUGAAAUGCGUAGAGAUCUGGAGGAAUACCGAUGGCGAAGGCAGCCAUCUGGCCUAAUACUGACGCUGAGGUACGAAAGCAUGGGGAGCAAACAGGAUUAGAGACCCCCGUAGUCCCUGUCUCUUAUAC